AUGGUCUGAAAAAAGGCUACUGUGUGGUUGAACCCCAGAAACCUGGGUGCAGCCCUGUACCAGUUAGCCUGACUUUGACCUAGAGUAAAUUCCCAGGAAAAAUGGGAUUUUAAUUUUGCAGUAACAGGUGUGAGCAUUCUAGCAGCAGUUUGAUGAUCAUGUAUAAUACUGCAAACAAUA
ensembl:scaRNA